GAGAGAGAGAGAGAGAGAGAGAUGGGCGGUGCGUUUACCAUGAUGCAACGCGAGCUUUUGCAUUUCUCCCGGAAACGGUAGUCGUCGACGCAGUUGCAUGAGGGAUUGCGUGGUGCGUGAUUGUUUGUGUUGCGUGCGAGUGUGAAUGCGUGUGAAUGCGGAAUGCGUGUGAUUUUUGUCCAAAACCUACACACUGAUCUUAUUUGAUCUGGUCGUAGUUGUGGCCCGACUAUGACUGGAAGUGAUAUGAAAUCAGCUCGCUUAGCCUCAGUGGCAAUGGGCAUCAAGCUCGAGUUCGACCUUCAGGGCCUCCACGCUUGUAAGUUGUGGUCAGAGGUGAUGAAUUGAUCAGAUAUACUAGUUCGGAGUGCGUUUGGUUUCUUUCCAAACUCCACGACGGGCAAUGAGUAUAGAAGCGAUUCUGAUCUAA